rnacentral:tRNA from 1 species
UCCCUAGUGGCUCAGUUGGUAAAGAGUCUGCCUGCAAUGCAGGAGACUUAGGUUCGAUCCCUGGUCAGGAAG